UGCGUAGGCGGAAUAUUAAGUCAGUGGUGAAAUCCUGCGGCUCAACCGUAGAACUGCCAUUGAUACUGAUAUUCUUGAAUGUAGUUGAGGUAGGCGGAAUGUGUAAUGUAGCGGUGAAAUGCUUAGAUAUUACACAGAACACCGAUUGCGAAGGCAGCUUACUAAACUAUGAUUGUCGCUGAGGCACGAAAGCGUGGGGAGCGAACAGGAUUAGAUACCCUGGUAGUCC
rnacentral:rRNA from 1 species